UACGUAGGGGGCAAGCGUUGUCCGGAUUCAUUGGGCGUAAAGAGCGUGUAGGCGGCCAGGUAGGUCGGUUGUGAAAACUCGAGGCUCAACUUCGAGCUGUCGGUGGAAACUUUCUGGCUAGAGUCCGGAAGAGGAGAAUGGAAUUCCUGGUGUAGCGGUGAAAUGCGCAGAUAUCAGGAAGAACACCCGUGGCGAAGGCGGUUCUCUGGGCCUUACCUGACGCUGAGGAGCGAAAGCGUGGGUAGCGAACAGG
rnacentral:rRNA from 1 species